GUUGUGGAGUCUCAGUUGUACAUACCAGUCUUUGUGUUUUGACGCUGGUGCUCUAGUUGGGUAACCACUAUGUCAUGGAGGAUCUGGAGACUAUCCUGGGAACACUGGGCAUGAGGUGGGCAUACACCCUGGAUGACAAGCUAGUCCAUCAUAAGUAACCGCUUACUGAAGUAACCAGUGGACACACACCAAGGGCAAAUAAGCAGAGCCAAUACACCUCCCAGCAUGUUUUUGGAAAGUGUGAGGAAACAUAAACAGGGAGAAGAUGAGAAACUCUGCACAGACAGUAACCUGAACUCAGGAUCGAACCCUGGAGCUAUGAGACGGCAGUGCUACCCCCUGCACCACUGGCACCCUGGAGCUCUGAGAUGGCAACACUACCCACUGUUCCACCAUGCUGCCUAUCUUAUUUUAAUGUUUUAUACUUUCAAUAUUUACUAUAUUGACAUACUAACUCAUCAUAAAAUGUUUAUAACACAGUAUUAGCCUGUCUUAUUUCUAGAAAUGCACUAUAUUCUGAUUAAUAGCCUACUGAUAUAACCCAUGCUAAUGCACAAAAAUCAGUGCAAAAAAAGAUGCACUGAUAAUAAGUUAAAGAAAUUAAUUAGACAGUUAUAGCUCUUGGAGGGCACGCAAAAUAUCAAUCUAGAGAUUUGAUCUUAGUUCCUGUUACCACUGGAAAAAUCUUUUUUAAAUCCUUUGAGAAAGUGCAGUAUAUGACUAUCCAAGAUGUACACUGAACACACUUUAUGUUCAUACAUUUAUGAGUAUUACUGAGUGAAUCUUAUUGUUACUUGCAAGGUAAAUCUAGACCAGCCACUGUCUCAGGUGUUUUCUUUCUUUUGCUUUGUCUCAAACCUUUCACUUUCACACACAUGUACGCAAACACACACAGACAAUACAGAGCACAGGAGCCAAAGCCGUCUGUAUUUCUUUACCUCUGCAGGAUCUGUGGAUCAAAAGAAG